CCUCUGCAGCUCCGGCUCCCCCUGGCCUCCCGGGAACUACAAGUCCCAGGGGGCCUGGCGGCGGGCGGAGGACGGAAGAGGCGGGG
rnacentral:pre_miRNA from 1 species